UACGUAGGGUGCAAGCGUUGUCCGGAAUUAUUGGGCGUAAAGAGCUCGUAGGCGGUCUGUCACGUCGGCUGUGAAAUCCCGAGGCUCAACCUCGGGUCUGCAGUCGAUACGGGCAAACUAGAGUAUUGCAGGGGAGACUGGAAUUCCUGGUGUAGCGGUGAAAUGCGCAGAUAUCAGGAGGAACACCGGUGGCGAAGGCGGUUCUCUGGGCCUUACCUGACGCUGAGGAGCGAAAGCGUGGGGAGCAAACAGG
rnacentral:rRNA from 1 species